rnacentral:rRNA from 1 species
AUUGAACGCUGGCGGCAUGCCUUACACAUGCAAGUCGAACGGUAACGCGGGGCAACCUGGCGACGAGUGGCGAACGGGUGAGUAAUGUAUCGGAACGUGCCCAGUUGUGGGGGAUAACUGCUCGAAAGAGCAGCUAAUACCGCAUACGACCUGAGGGUGAAAGCGGGGGAUCGCAAGACCUCGCGCAAUUGGAGCGGCCGAUAUCAGAUUAGGUAGUUGGUGGGGUAAAGGCCCACCAAGCCAACGAUCUGUAGCUGGUCUGAGAGGACGACCAGCCACACUGGGACUGAGACACGGCCCAGACUCCUACGGGAGGCAGCAGUGGGGAAUUUUGGACAAUGGACGCAAGUCUGAUCCAGCCAUGCCGCGUGUGGGAAGAAGGCCUUCGGGUUGUAAACCGCUUUUGUCAGGGAAGAAAAGGGCGACAUUAAUACAGUUGCCUCAUGACGGUACCUGAAGAAUAAGCACCGGCUAACUACGUGCCAGCCGCCGCAGUAACAC